rnacentral:tRNA from 1 species
GCGAAUGUGGCCGAAUUGGCAGACGCGCCAGAGUUAGGAUCUGGUGCCUUAAUGCUCGGGGUUCGAGUCCCUUCAUCUCCAC